rnacentral:tRNA from 1 species
GGUGCGAUCCCAAAGUUUGUUUGGUUGCACUCAUAAUCCCUUGGUCGUAGGUUCAAGUCCUACUGGGCCCACCA